rnacentral:misc_RNA from 1 species
GUAUUAAGUUUGUUGACCAUCAAAGGCCACAAUUAGACAUUCAAUAGACUUUUUUAAGGGUGUAUUAAAAACAUAGGCAACAGACUUUUUACAUCUGCGCCUACAAUAUGUUCACAGGUGUAUUGAAAAGGUGGAGUGCACAUGCCCCGAAAGGCCAGCAACAUCCUUUGGAUUCAAUAAUGAUCCUUCCGCAGGUUCACCUACGGAAA